rnacentral:rRNA from 1 species
GAACGCUGGCGGCAUGCCUAACACAUGCAAGUCGAACGGAAACGAUGGGAGCUUGCUCCCAGGCGUCGAGUGGCGGACGGGUGAGUAAUACUUAGGAAUCUGCCCAUUAGUGGGGGACAACUCGAGGAAACUCGAGCUAAUACCGCAUACGCCCUACGGGGGAAAGCGGAGGAUCCUUCGGGACUUCGCGCUAAUGGAUGAGCCUAAGUCGGAUUAGCUUGUUGGUGAGGUAAAGGCUCACCAAGGCGACGAUCCGUAGCUGGUCUGAGAGGACGAUCAGCCACACUGGGACUGAGACACGGCCCAGACUCCUACGGGAGGCAGCAGUGGGGAAUAUUGGACAAUGGGCGCAAGCCUGAUCCAGCAAUGCCGCGUGUGUGAAGAAGGCCUGCGGGUUGUAAAGCACUUUCAGUAGAGAAGAAAAGCCUACGGUUAAUACCCGUGAGUCUUGACGUUACCUACAGAAGAAGCUCCGGCUAACUCCGUGCCAGCAGCCGCGGUAAUACGGAGGGAGCAAGCGUUAAUCGGAAUUACUGGGCGUAAAGCGCGCGUAGGCGGCUUUGUCAGUCGGAUGUGAAAGCCCUGGGCUCAACCUGGGAAUUGCAUUCGAUACUGCAGAGCUAGAGUAUGGUAGAGGGAAGUGGAAUUUCCGGUGUAGCGGUGAAAUGCGUAGAUAUCGGAAGGAACACCAGUGGCGAAGGCGACUUCCUGGGCCAAUACUGACGCUGAGGUGCGAAAGCGUGGGGAGCAAACAGGAUUAGAUACCC